UACGGGGGGGGCAAGCGUUGCUCGGAAUUACUGGGCGUAAAGGGCUCGUAGGCGGAUGGCUAAGUCAGGGGGGAAAUCCUGGAGCUCAACUCCAGAACUGCCUUUGAUACUGGCAACCUUGAGUCCGGGAGAGGUGAGUGGAACUGCGAGUGUAGAGGUGAAAUUCGUAGAUAUUCGCAAGAACACCAGUGGCGAAGGCGGCUCACUGGCCCGGUACUGACGCUGAGGUGCGAAAGCGUGGGGAGCAAACAGG
rnacentral:rRNA from 1 species